GAUGAACGCUGACAGAAUGCUUAACACAUGCAAGUCGAUUCAAGUUACCUUCGGGUAAUGAGGAUGGCGGACGGGUGAGUAACGCGUAAGGAACUUGCCUCUUGGUCUGGGACAACUGUUGGAAACGACAGCUAAUACCGGAUAUUAUGAGAUUCUCGCAUGGGAAACUUAUGAAAGCUAUAUGCGCCAAGAGAGAGCCUUGCGUUCCAUUAGCUAGUUGGUGGGGUAACGGCCCACCAAGGCGACGAUGGAUAGCCGGCCUGAGAGGGUGAACGGCCACAAGGGGACUGAGACACGGCCCUUACUCCUACGGGAGGCAGCAGUGGGGAAUAUUGGACAAUGGGCCACAAGCCUGAUCCAGCAAUUCUGUGUGCACGAUGAAGGUCUUCGGAUUGUAAAGUGCUUUCAGUUGGGAAGAAGAAAGUGACGGUACCAACAGAAGAAGCGACGGCUAAAUACGUGCCAGCAGCCGCGGUAAUACGUAUGUCGCAAGCGUUAUCCGGAUUUAUUGGGCGUAAAGCGCGUCUAGGCGGAAAAAUAAGUCUGAUGUUAAAAUGCGGGGCUCAACUCCGUAUUGCGUUGGAAACUGUUUUUCUAGAGUACUGGAGAGGUGGGCGGAACUACAAGUGUAGAGGUGAAAUUCGUAGAUAUUUGUAGGAAUGCCGAUGGAGAAGUCAGCUCACUGGACAGAUACUGACGCUAAAGCGCGAAAGCGUGGGGAGCAAACAGGAUUAGAUACCCUGGUAGNCC
rnacentral:rRNA from 1 species